GUGAUCUGUGAUAAAAAAUGCUAAUAUUUUUUUUUUUUAUACUGAAGUUUCUAUUACUGGGUUCUUCGUGUUCAAGAUAUUUUAUGGAUUCUCUUUACUUCAGCAUUGGGGAUUUCUAAUCAUAUUUUUUAGCUUUGAUUCAUUUUUAGAUUACUUCCCGACCUAAAUUCAUGAUCUUGGAUAUUUUAUUUGGGAUUUUAUAUGGUUUGAAGUUUGAUCUUUUUGGUAUAUUCUCAAAUAAUUUUGGGGAAAAUUUCAAAUUAACAAAAUUGAUACAUUUUCAAUCAAUGUACAUUACUGUUGUAUUAGCUUUCCGCCGCAACGCGCGAGUCCCUUAACUAGUAUGCAUUAUUUGGUAGCCUAACAUAGCAUUUCACCUUAUGCAUUUAUGUGUUCUACCACUAGCUAUCAUUACAUGCAUCAAUAGUAAGCACUAGUCUUAGACAUACAGGCGACCUAGUCGCUUCGGUAAACACAACUCACCUCAAUUCGCACUUCGAUUGCUCGUAGUCACUUGCAAUCGGCCUCCCGCGGCACCCGUGACCCGGUUCGGCCCGAACUCUCGCGCGACCACCCGAACGGCCUCCAAUCCACGAUCCGGAAAUUAAAGGUCUACGGUUAGUUGCCACGAGCCCACGAUUCCGUUUUCAUGAUUUUAGGACGUCGCCUCGGCCCUCCAGGCGGAAACGAAGCCGAAACGUCCGUUUCUUCAAUAUCUUCGCACCGGCUCGACGAAUCGCCGAACCGACUUCGCCAACGCAUUCGUAUACCUAGCAAUUAGGUUUAUAUAGGUUCAAUUUAGAUCAAACCCAUCUACUAGCAAAAAUGCCAUUUUUGAGCCCUAGCAAGUUACAUAGUAAGAAGUCACCAUAUAUCUAGCCUCAUGAUUCAAGCAUUAGUCCUCUAUCUAGCAUCUAGGAGUUCCAAUAAAUCUAUUUUUAGAGCAUAUAAAUAAAGCCCUAAAGAUCUACCAUGGAUGCUCCAAGAAGCUUACCUCAAAGCUUGCUCCAAGCCAAGGAGAAUAUAAAGAAGAUGAAGAUGAUUCACUUCCAAGCUUCAAUCUCCACCAAAUCCUUCAAUUUUGGAAGAGAUCUAGAGAGAGAAAGGGAGGUUUCUCUCUCCCUCCAUAUAUGCGUGUGUGUGUUAGUGUUGUGGGUGCACG
rnacentral:lncRNA from 1 species